UCUAGAGUGAGGGAGAGGCAGAUGGAAUUGGUGGUGUAGGGGUAAAAUCCGUAGAUAUCACCAAGAAUACCCAUUGCGAAGGCGAUCUGCUGGAACUCAACUGACGCUAAGGCGCGAAAGCGUGGGGAGCAAACAGGAUUAGAUACCCUGGUAGUCCACGCCCUAAACGAUGUACACUAGUUGUUGGGGUGCUAGUCAUCUCAGUAAUGCAGCUAACGCAUUAAGUGUACCGCCUGGGGAGUACGGUCGCAAGAUUAAAACUCAAAGGAAUAGACGGGGACCCGCACAAGCGGUGGAGCAUGUGGUUUAAUUCGAAGAUACGCGAAGAACCUUACCUGGGCUUGAUAUCCUAAGAACCUUUUAGAGAUAAGAGGGUGCUAGCUUGCUAGAACUUAGAGACAGGUGCUGCACGGCUGUCGUCAGCUCGUGUCGUGAGAUGUUGGGUUAAGUCCCGCAACGAGCGCAACCCACGUAUUUAGUUGCUAACGGUUCGGCCGAGCACUCUAAAUAGACUGCCUUCGUAAGGAGGAGGAAGGUGUGGACGACGUCAAGUCAUCAUGGCCCUUAUGCCCAGGGCGACACACGUGCUACAAUGGCAUAUACAAUGAGACGCAAUACCGCGAGGUGGAGCAAAUCUAUAAAAUAUGUCCCAGUUCGGAUUGUUCUCUGCAACUCGAGAGCAUGAAGCCGGAAUCGCUAGUAAUCGUAGAUCAGCCAUGCUACGGUGAAUACGUUCCCGGGUCUUGUACUCACCGCCCGUCACACCAUGGGAGUUGAUUUCACUCGAAGCCGGAAUACUAAACUAGUUACCGUCCACAGUGGAAUCAGCGACUGGGGUGAAGUCGUAACAAGGUAACCGUAGGAGAACCUGCGGUUGGAUCACCUCCUUUCUA
rnacentral:rRNA from 1 species